rnacentral:rRNA from 1 species
AGUUUGAUCCUGGCUCAGGAUGAACGCUGGCGGCGUGCUUAACACAUGCAAGUCGAACGGUGAACACGGAGCUUGCUCUGUGGGAUCAGUGGCGAACGGGUGAGUAACACGUGAGCAACCUGCCCCUGACUCUGGGAUAAGCGCUGGAAACGGCGUCUAAUACUGGAUAUGUGACGUGACCGCAUGGUCUGCGUCUGGAAAGAAUUUCGGUUGGGGAUGGGCUCGCGGCCUAUCAGCUUGUUGGUGAGGUAAUGGCUCACCAAGGCGUCGACGGGUAGCCGGCCUGAGAGGGUGACCGGCCACACUGGGACUGAGACACGGCCCAGACUCCUACGGGAGGCAGCAGUGGGGAAUAUUGCACAAUGGGCGCAAGCCUGAUGCAGCAACGCCGCGUGAGGGACGACGGCCUUCGGGUUGUAAACCUCUUUUAGCAGGGAAGAAGCGAAAGUGACGGUACCUGCAGAAAAAGCGCCGGCUAACUACGUGCCAGCAGCCGCGGUAAUACGUAGGGCGCAAGCGUUAUCCGGAAUUAUUGGGCGUAAAGAGCUCGUAGGCGGUUUGUCGCGUCUGCUGUGAAAUCCGGAGGCUCAACCUCCGGCCUGCAGUGGGUACGGGCAGACUAGAGUGCGGUAGGGGAGAUUGGAAUUCCUGGUGUAGCGGUGGAAUGCGCAGAUAUCAGGAGGAACACCGAUGGCGAAGGCAGAUCUCUGGGCCGUAACUGACGCUGAGGAGCGAAAGGGUGGGGAGCAAACAGGAUUAGAUACCCUGGUAGUCC